AAAAAAAAAAUAAACAUGAGGUAUCUUCCUGCCCCUCAAUCUAGGUUUUCCUUGCUCCUUCUUAACUUGGAGGAAUACUUCUUCGAGCAGCAUACAGCUCAUCAUAUUCAGCAUAAGGGCAGUCAGAAGGAAAGGAGAGUCAGAGGCUCCUUAAAAAUAUGUUCAAAAUCUGUUAUUUUUGAACCAGAUGCGAUAUCCCAGCCCAUCAUUAAGAUUCCUUUGAGAGAUUGUAUAAAAAUAGGAAAACAUGGAGAAAAUGGAACCAAUAGACAUUUUGCAAAGGCAAAAUCGGGGGGGAUUUCACUCAUUUUCAGUCAGGUAUAUUUCAUUAAAGAACACAACAUUGUUGCACCAUAUAAAAUAGAAAGAGGCAGAAUGGAAUAUGUCUUUGAAUUGGAUGUUUCAGGGAAAGUGGAAGAUGUUGUGGAGACGUUGCUUCAGCUUCACAGAGCAUCCUGCCUUGACAAACUAGGGGACCAAACUGCUAUGAUAACAGCUAUUUUGCAGUCACGCUUGGCGAGAACAUCAUUUGACAAGAACAGGUUCCAAAGUGUUUCUGAAAAGCUGCACAUGGAAUGCAAAGCAGAAAUGGUGACCCCUCUGGUGACAAACCCCGGACAUGUGUGCAUCACUGACACCACCCUGUAUUUUCAGCCCCUCAAUGGGUACCCGAAACCUGUGGUCCAGAUCACACUCCAAGACGUCUGCCGCAUUUACAAAAGGAGGCACGGCCUCAUGCCUUUGGGAUUGGAAGUGUUUUGCACAGAAGAUGACCUGUGUUCUGACAUCUACCUAAAGUUCUACGACCCUCAAGAUAGAGAUGAACUCUAUUUUUAUAUUGCCACAUAUCUAGAGCACCACGUCGCGGAGCGCACGGCCGAGAGCUACACGCUGCAGUGGCAGCGCGGGCACCUCUCCAACUACCAGUACCUGCUGCACCUCAACAACCUGGCCGACCGCAGCUGCAACGACCUGUCGCAGUACCCGGUGUUCCCGUGGAUCAUCAGCGAUUAUUGCAGCUCAGAAUUGGAUUUGUCAAACCCAGGAACCUUCCGGGAUCUUGGGAAACCAGUAGGGGCCCUAAAUAAGGAGCGACUGGAGAGACUACUGGAACGCUACCAGGAGAUGCCAGAGCCAAAGUUCAUGUAUGGCAGUCACUACUCUUCCCCAGGUUACGUGCUGUUUUAUCUUGUCAGGAUUGCACCAGAGUAUAUGCUGUGCCUGCAGAAUGGAAGAUUUGAUAAUGCAGAUAGAAUGUUCAACAGUAUUGCAGAAACUUGGAAAAAUUGUUUGGAUGGUGCCACAGAUUUUAAAGAGUUGAUUCCAGAAUUCUAUGGUGAUGAUGUCAGCUUCUUAGUCAAUAGUCUGAAGUUGGAUUUGGGGAAGAGACAAGGAGGACAGAUGGUGGAUGAUGUGGAACUUCCGCCUUGGGCACGGAGUCCCGAGGACUUUCUCCAGAAGAGCAAAGAGGCCCUGGAAAGCAAUUAUGUGUCCAAGCACCUUCACGAGUGGAUUGACCUAGUGUUUGGCUACAAGCAAAAAGGAAGCGAGGCUGUUGGGGCCCAUAAUGUGUUUCAUCCCCUGACCUAUGAAGGAGGUGUGGACUUGAACAGCAUCGAGGAUCCUGACCAGAAAGUAGCCAUGCUGACCCAAAUCUUGGAAUUUGGGCAGACACCAAAACAGCUCUUUGUGACACCACAUCCUCAAAGGAUCACCGAAAACUUCAAAAGUUUGCCCCAAACCUCCUGUGAUAACAUUUCCAUAGCAGAUUCUCCAGGGGAAGAGUCUUUUGAGGACCUGACUGAAGAAAGCAAAAAACUGGCCUGGAAUAACAUAGCCAAACUGCAGUUGCACGAGCAACAUAAACUCCACAAAGAGGCGGUUACUGGAAUAGCGGUCUCUUGCAAUGGCUCAUCAGUCUUUACGACGUCACAAGAUAACACCUUGAAAAUGUUUUCUACAGAAUCCAAAAUGCUACAAAGAAGUAUAUCAUUUUCAGAUAUGGCGUUAUCGUCUUGUUUACUUUUACCAGGAGAUGCCACUGUCAUAAGUUCCUCAUGGGAUAAUAAUGUCUAUUUUUAUUCUAUAGCAUUUGGAAGGAGUCAAGGCACAUUAAUGGGACAUGAUGAUGCUGUUAGCAAGAUCUGUUGGCAUGACAACAGGCUGUAUUCUGCAUCGUGGGAUUCUACCGUGAAGGUGUGGUCUAGUGUUCCUGCAGAAAUGACAGGCACCAAGAGACACCAGUUUGACCUGCUGGCCGAGUUGGAACAUGAUGUUAGUGUGGAUACCAUCAGUUUAAAUGCUGCAAGCACACUGUUGGUUUCAGGCACCAGAGAAGGCAAGGUGACUAUCUGGGACCUCACGACGGCCACCAUACUGCACCAGAUUCCGUGCCAUUCGGGGACUGUGUGUGACACUGCUUUCAGCCCAGACAGUCGCCAUGUCCUCAGCACAGGAGAAGACAGCUGUGUGAAUGUAAUAGACGUGCAGACAGGAAUGCUUAUCUCCUCCAUGACUUCCGACAAGCCCCAGAGGUGCUUUAUCUGGGAUGGAAAUACUGUUUUAUCCGGAAGUCAGUCUGGUGAACUGCUUGUUUGGGACCUCCUUGGAGGAAAACUCUGUGAGAGAAUACAGGGACAUAAAGGACUUUUUAAGAACUUCAAGUAUUGAUCCUCCUAGAAAACCAUACUUAGCGAUGUGAAUGUUGGUCUUACACUUGGAACCAUCUUCAGAUCCAAGUCCAGACAGCAAAGUAGAUCAUCAAACUGGGAAACACUGGUUUGCUUUGCUAAAUUUCAAACAAGUCUCCUUUCUCAGCUUUCCAGUCUUCCCGUUACCUGCCUUCCGAGAUGCCUGAGAGAGUAAAAACUGUGACUCCUAACAUCCAGUAAGAAUUUGCCAUCAUGAACCACGAGUAAAUUUCUACUGAGCAGAGGAACUAUAGGCAGCGUGCAACCAAUCCAUUUUUGGAAGCUGAAGAGAAAGUUUGCCCAAAUCUGCUCGUAUAUCCUUUUCCUAGUAGGAAAUGUCAAAAUUUCCAGUGUGUAAUGAAUUUUAUUCCAAGCUUAGGAAAUUGUAAGGGGUCAUCCUUACCAACCAAAUCUUCUGAUUUUAAAUAAUUUACUCCAAUGUCACCCCUUAGGUAAAGAACCAAAAGUUUGGGAAUUAAUAUAUAUGUACUGUGCUUGCUUUUAAGUCUCAUUAGCAUAAGCAUCAAGUUAAAGAACUGUGUCUACUUACCGUUUAAUAAUAUGUUCAAAGAUAAAAGCAGGCAUGAUUGUAAUAGUAACUACAGUCCCAGAUGUUGACAAUAUGUCUGCAACUUGAGAGUCCUAUUGAAAACAUAAAAUUGUUAUUCUUCUUAAAGAAAUAUGUCCUCUUAUGUUUUGCUAAUCACUCUAAAUUCCUAACUCUUGGUAUUUACAAUUUUUUUCUAGUUUUCCUUACCAAGUUUAGUGUAGAAUCACAAUCUUAAGAUUAUUACAAUAUCCCCUCAGUUAGCCAAAAUUCAUAAAAUAAGCAGGUUAUAAUGAAAUCCUUUAGAUCUUAAAAGUCUUAUUCAGGAAUUUGAAUAGAAACUAUUACUUGUUGCCCAUAAUCCAAAUUGGAAAAAGUUGUACAAGCAUUCAUUAAAAAUGCCAUCAAACCUUUAA